rfam:Cavia porcellus supercont2_7 genomic scaffold, whole genome shotgun sequence.
GGGAAUAUAGCUUAGCAGCAUAGCACCUGCCUGGCAAGUACAAGGUCUUGAGUUCAAUUCCCAGUAUACAUA